rnacentral:rRNA from 1 species
AUUUGACCUCUCUCGGGUGGGACUACCCGCUGAACUUAAGCAUAUCAAUAAGCGG